AUGCAAAUUCUGGAGUAAUACACCUGGCCUGCCUAGAGAUGUUACAAGUGGCCUAAUGGAUUUUUCUAGCCUGGACGCCCACUGGGGACAAGGAUCAUUACUGACAGGAUUGUAUCUCUACCCUUGACUCCAUGGGAAUAUUUGGUCUGCUCUCUCGGGCUCCCUCUAAAAUCAUAUCCUUUAAGCAUUCCAGAAGGAUUUUGAGAACCAUCCUUUCCUAAAUCAAAGCUAGAAUAUUUGGAGAUUUGGAAAAUUGAGGUCAGAUCAGAAGGACUUCUCGGAAAGCUGGACCUCAUGGCACUCACCGAUCAUUCUGAUAUCCAGAGAAGCCGAGGUGAGAAGCAUUGAUUUAAGAGAUG
rnacentral:lncRNA from 1 species